CUAUCCUUAGAAUAUAAAAAAAAAGCCUAUAAUUCAAAACUAAGAAAAAUGAGUAUCUAUCAAACAUAAGCUAAUUUGGAUUUUGUGUAAAAAAGAAAGCUAAUGAGUUUAUAUUGACUCUUACAUAGUGCAAUAUAUCACAUCUCAUAGGCCAUGUUGAUGUGUACCAACUACCAAAUACCAACUAGGAGAUGGAGCUAAAAUCUACGUCUCCAUUACUGAGAUAAAGUGUCAUUGACUUUUGGUUUUUCCAUGUGUUUUCACGUAACUCUCCUCUCUAGUAAUAGAGAGAGGAGUCUGACUCAAACAUAACCAAAGAAAAGAGUUUACAGAUUCUACAUCUUCUGAGUUGAGUGGCCUGAUUAUGACAAACCCUGAACUAAUGGCAGGCACAAGGAGAAAAAAUUCAAGUCUUAGUCUUGUCCCAAUGAUAGAUUUAGUAGCUAGUGAAGGGUGUACAUCAAUUAGACCUAAGAAGUAAGAAUGAUAAUUCAGUGGAAUCUUCCUCUAAGACCCACAGGGCCAAAACCUUGGGUAGUGAUUGAAAGUGAUGUUACAAUGCCAAGAAAACACUUAUACUGUUAC